GAUGAACGCUAGCGGCAGGCCUAAUACAUGCAAGUCGAACGAUACCAUCUGGCUUGCCAGAUGGGAAAGUGGCGCACGGGCGCGUAACGCGUAUGCAACCUACCUUAAUCAGGGGGAUAGCCCGAAGAAAUUCGGAUUGACACCGCAUAAAAACACAGUACAGCAUUGUACAAUGUUCAAAUAUUUAUUGGAUUAAGAUG
rnacentral:rRNA from 1 species